GCAUGGUUUUGGAUUUAUGGCAGGCCCCACUCCAUGGGCUUCUCAUAGUGUACCCCAUGCCAUAGCAUCUGAUCUCCCCGAACCAUUGGCUGGCCUGGCUUUCUGUAGCGCCAGCCACUGAAGCGGGUGGUACAUGU